AAAAAGAUAAGCUAACAAUAAGCUAAUGGGUUCAUACCCCAUUUAUGAAUUUAAAAUUCUCUUUUUA
rnacentral:tRNA from 1 species